rnacentral:rRNA from 1 species
GAUGAACGCUGGCUACAGGCUUAACACAUGCAAGUCGAGGGGAAACGACGGGGAAGCUUGCUUCCCCGGGCGUCGACCGGCGCACGGGUGAGUAACGCGUAUCCAACCUGCCUCUGACUGAGGGAUAACCCGUCGAAAGUCGGCCUAAUACCUCAUGGCAUCGUCUGCGGGCAUCCAACGCCGAUUAAAGAUUUCAUCGGUCAGGGAUGGGGAUGCGUCUGAUUAGCUUGUUGGCGGGGUAACGGCCCACCAAGGCUACGAACAGUAGGGGUUCUGAGAGGAAGGUCCCCCGCAUUGGAGCUGAGACACGGACCAAGCUCCUACGAGAGGCAGCAGUGAGGAAUAGUAGGCAGUGGGCGGGAGCCUGAACCAGCCAAGUAGCGUGCAAGAUGACGGCCCUAUGUGAAGUAAGCUGCUUUUAUGCGGGGAUAAAUUGAGGGACGUGUCCGUCAUUGCAGGUACCGCAUGAAUAAGGACCGGCUAAUUCCGUG